CUUGAACUUCUCACUGAGUUGGUAUUUGAAUGUUAGCUUAACUUCAAGUUCAAAACAUACUUUAUUCGUUUUUUGGAACACUCUGUGGAUACUAAUAAGAAUGUCAAAAAGAAAGCAGCCAAACCUCAGUCAAUUUGGAUUUACAAAACAAACGAAGAGGAGUGAUGACAGCGCACCAGCUACAACUAGCUUGCCGGUGAUAACGCCGCCGCCGCUAAAAGUUGCUGCUAGUGACAGCACCAGCACAGAGGAUAGCGAGACUUUGGCGCCAGAAACCACCGCUGCGACCUGCAGCGGACCAGGCGAUCAUGAUCAUGCAACACCUUUCAACUGGACAACGAAGCAAUGGAGUGAGUGGAGAAUUCUUUUCUGCCGUGGAUUCUACUGACAGCAAGUAUCGCAACAAGUUGCGUGAACAAUGCCUCUGCUCGCUUCUCUUCGUGGAUCUGAAUGGACCCCCUUUGGAGCAAUUUGACCCUCUGCCUUUUGUAUCAUCUUGGAUUAAAGCCGGUCACCGACCCUCAACAUCCUGGGUUACAGGACGGAAAGCAAAGACAGAAGACCCCAGGCUUCUGUGGUCACUUCUGAUUUAAGGUGGUGGAGGAGCGUGAGGCAGAGAUGGAGAGCCCAUGAGCCAGGGUGACGAGGAGGAUCCGGAGGGCCAAGGCGGAGCAGAUGGCUCAGGCAACCGAGGCAGAGGCUGGGAUCCAGAAGGCCGUGGCGGAGCUGGAGCGACAGAGGACCAUGGAGGAGCCGAUGGGAAGCUGGUGUGUGGUGAGCAAACUGGCGCCGUUGUACUGUGGCUGUCAUCGUAUCAUCCAGUUGGAUUCUGCACACUGGUGGUGAUUGAGGAGAGACCCCCCCCCACAUGACUGUAAACUACUUUGGGAGUACAACAAUACAAAUAAAGUGCUAUAUAAAUGCAUCAUUUAUUCAUUCAACACCAUAUACCACCAUACUUCCCCAGUUGGUUAAUCACAGAACUUUAAGACAUUUUUUGGUAACACCUUAGAAUAAUGAACACAUAUUGAUUAUUAACUAAGAGUUUUCCCUGAACAAACUCCGAAAUUUUGGUCUAUGUAAGUGCUGCUUAAGUGUGAAUUUCUGGCUUAGUUCAGUUGAUAAUAGCCUUAAUAAAUACAGUAUGUAUUGUAAUUGAAAAUGCAUAUAGAUAAAGUAGGGCUGGACGAUAUGACCUAAAAUCAAAAUAUUGAUUAACUGAACAAUCUACCUUGAUCUAAAUGAAUGAACAAUUAUUUAUUUGUUUGUUUGUUUGUUUACUUAUUUAUCUAUGCCUUCAUAGUUUACUGGCAAGGUUACUGUACUGUAAAUAUGCUAUUAACUAUUAAAGGUGUGAUUUGUUUUUCUAAUGAAUGAGUGUAUUUCUUGUCUUUGUGAUUCAAAAUAAUUUAAGGAUGCACAAACUAUGGUUAUUCAUUGAAUAUUUCGAACAAAUGAAAUCAAAGCACACAUUUCUUGAAAUUAAAAUGUUUUAUGAAAUGUC
ensembl:lncRNA